UUUCGGAAACAGUUUUUGUAACAAAAAUCUGUUCUUUGGAAAAAUGUAGUUUGUGUGAUUGGGCAGCGGCCAGACAACCGUAGAGAUGAUUCCACAGAUGACGGGCCUUACUUUCCCGUUUUUGUCUACUAAAAACAUCUCACAUUU